GCUUUCCUGUGGCUCAGUUGCCAGAGCACUGUGCUAACGAUGUGAAGGUUGUGGGUUCAAAUCUCAGGGAAAGCA